rnacentral:rRNA from 1 species
ACGGGAGGCAGCAGUGAGGAAUAUUGGUCAAUGGGCGAGAGCCUGAACCAGCCAAGUAGCGUGCAGGAUGACGGCCCUAUGGGUUGUAAACUGCUUUUAUGGGGGAAUAAAUGAGAUCACGUGUGGUUUUUUGCAUGUACCCCAUGAAUAAGGACCGGCUAAUUCCGUGCCAGCAGCCGCGGUAAUACGGAAGGUCCGGGCGUUAUCCGGAUUUAUUGGGUUUAAAGGGAGCGUAGGCGGCCUUUUAAGCGUGUUGUGAAAUGUCCCGGCUCAACCGUGGCACUGCAGCGCGAACUGGAGGGCUUGAGUGUGCAGGAAGUAGGCGGAAUUCGUCGUGUAGCGGUGAAAUGCUUAGAUAUGACGAAGAACUCCGAUUGCGAAGGCAGCUUACUGUAGCAUAACUGACGCUGAUGCUCGAAGGUGCGGGUAUCGAACAGGAUUAGAUACCCUGGUA